AGAAUCUAAUGCAAAAAGAAAGACCGCAAAUGUAAUUUGAGUACAACAUAUAUAGCAAGAAACAGGCACAGAUACGUACAAUACAUAUACAUGCACGCACAUGUAUAAUCAUUCAUAUACAACUUCCAUGAACAUAUGGUACCUGACUUUGUAAAAUCACAGAUUUUAUUGGUUCUCCUAACUUAGUAUUAGUCAAUGCUUAAUUGUGGCCUCCAAUUAGUCUUUCAAUUUCUUCAUCAAAAAUGCUCAUAAAAGCACUAAAGAUGUCCAUAGAAUAGUCAUAUGAACUAUGCUUUCUACUUUAGUGUUUGGCAAAACUUGGGAAAAAAAACAAAACCUGUACCAGAUAUACAAUAUGCGCUGUUUCAGGCAUAAUUAUAUCCAUUUGCAGGCACAAACUCAGUGAGUGAUACAACAGGCAGAAGAGCCCCUGAUAUGGUUUGGCUGUGUCCUCACCCAAAUCUCAACUUGAAUUGUAUCUUAACAGAAUUCCCACGUGUUAUGGGAGGGACCCAGGGGGAGGUAAUUGAAUCAUGGGGGGCCAGUCUUUCCUGUGCUAUUCUUAUGAUAGUGAUUGUGUCUCACAAGACCUGAUGGGUUUAUCAGCGUUUCCACUUUUGCUUCUUCCUCAUUUUUCUCUUGCCGCUGCCAUGUAAGAAGUGCCUUCUGCCUCCCUCCGUGAUUCUGAGGCCUCCCCAGCCAUGUGGAACUGUAAGUCCAAUUAAACCUCUUUGUUUUCCCAAUCUCGGUUAUGUCUUUGUCAGUGGCAUGAAAACAGACUAAUACAGCCCCCAACAUCUAAAACCUUUUUUCUCUCUCCCCUUCAGCCACAGGGAAUAUUGUUGCAUAUGUAUAGUAUGAUUGUAUUCUAAUUCAAAAUCUAGGCCUUGGCUAAGAACAUGGUCCAACUUAGAACCAUGGACAUGAUAUUAUAAAACUCUUCAUACCAAUAAACAGAAAGAUCUCAAACUGAAUGAAAAAAAAAGACAAUCAUAGAUGCCAACACUGAGAAGAGAAAGAUUUUAAAGCACCUAAUAAAGAUGCUUCGAUGGGCAAUUAUAAAUACUUUUGAAACAUAAAGAGAAAACAUAAAGGCUCAACAAUGAAAUGGAAGACAUAAAGUUUAGAACUGAAAGAUACAACCAAAAUAAAAAGUUCAAUGGAUGGGCUUUCCAUAGCAGAAUGGAAGGGACAAAGAAAAGAGUCAGUGAACUGAAAGAACAACAGAAAUUACCCAAUCUGAACAACAAAAAAAUACACUGGGGAAAAAAAAAGCGCAAAGUCUCAAGGACCCGUAGGACUAUAAAAAAUGAUGUCAUGGCACUGGAGUUCUGCAAGGAGUGAAGAAAGAGCAGGGCUUAAAAAGUAUUCACAGAAAUGACCUCCAAAUAUAUCCCAAAUUUAACAAGCUACAUCAACCAGGAUUCAAGAAGCUGAACAAGCUCCAAACAGGAUAAACCCCUUCAAAAAACACUCUAAGACAGGUUAUAAUUAAAUUUAUGAAAACUGAAGAAAAAAAUCUUGAAAGCAGCCAGAAAAAAAAAAAAAAAUGACACCUUACCCAUAGGGGGAAAUCAGUCUGAAUAACAGGAGAUUUGUCAUUAGAAACGAUGGAGGCUACCUGGAAGUGGCACAAUAUUUUUUAAACGCUGAAAGAAAAGAACAGUCCACCCCAGAACCCUAGACUCAGCAAAAUGCCACCUUCAAAAAUAAAGGAGAAAUGAAGACAUUCUUAGAUGAAGGAACACUGAGAAUCUGUCAUCAGCAGAUUUACCCUAAAAGAAUGGCUAAAAGAAGUUUUCUAAACAGAGGAAAUGAUAAAAGGAACCCUGAAGCCUCAUGAAGGAAGAAAGAACACACUGAUUUCCUCCAUGUCUUCUAUGGAAGAUUCUGUCCGUCCCACUGGUUUAUGGUUUAUGGUGGCGCCUCUCCAUAUCAGAUUAUGCUUUCACGUGUCCCAGGUGGAUCCAGACAGCCUAGGUGCAAAUAGUGUCCCUGUCACUUAGCAGCUAUGUGAUUUGGGGCAAGUGCCUCGUUUCUUUACAUACAAAAUGGGACAAUAGCAUCUGCUUCACGGACUGUCAGGAGAUAACAUGAGUUUAUGACUGCUCAGGCCUGCCCAGCACAGGGUAAAUGCCCAUCACCGUUGCCUCUUCUCUGUUAGGCUAGUCUUAUGCUAAGAGCCAUGAAAAUGUUAAUGGGGUGGCUUGUAGUUUUGUAUUGAUAAGGCAAUCUCCAUUCAUUAGGGAUUGCCUUAUCAAUACGAAACUACUAGCUACCCCCAUUUUUAUUUUUCUAGAAAUAUAGCUAUUUUCAUCUAUUUAUUAUUUUAUAUAAACUCUAGAACCAUUUUAUCAAGUUAAAAGUAUCAUUUAUGCUUUCAAUAUGGUUUGUGACACGUGAAUAAGCAAAUUUGGGGUGAAUGCACGUGUUUAAAAUAUUCAGUCAUUCCAUUCAAGAGCAUGGCAUUUCUUUUAUCUUAAUAUCUCCCAGUAAAAUUUUUUUAUUUGUCCUCAUUUCUGCUUCAAACUUUUCUGAUUAGGCUGGUAGAUGUAAUGGUGAAACAGAUGGGUUCUACCAACUCUACCAUGAACUAGCUGUGUGAUCUACUGGCACUGAAGCUAUUCAAGUCUCAGUUUCCUGCCUAUAAAAUGACAUAGGAGGCACUACUGUAUGGAUUGCUGUAAAGCCUAUUGAUAUAUGGUUCUAAUCACUACUUAAGCAGAAUAGAGGUUACCAGGAAAGAAGGUGAAAAUAUAACCUUGCCUUUCAGGCAUCCAACUUUUUAAAAAAAUUCACUUAUAAUGGUAUUCAAUUAUAUACUGAAAUUCAAUUAAAUACUAAUAAUCUCAAAUAUUUUAAGUGUUACUCUAGGCAAUAGGUAUAAAUCCUAAUAAGUUAAAACUAUUACAGCUAUACUUAAAACUAAGUAAAAAUCAAUAACUGGGUAAAGAGGCUCAACCAAUCAUAAGUUAAGUCUAUGGCAUACUGACCUUCACCCAUGCAACCUGUGGCUAAAGAAGCAGCCUAGCUCCACACACUGAGGUGGAGAAAAGCAAACUAUCUUAAUUAUGUGUAGUCAUGGGUAUGCAUGUUGGAAGUUCUUUGUUCAGAAUGAACUUUCUUUCACCCCAUCUUUAUUCUCUGCUCCAUGAGGAAAGAAAAACAGCUUCCUCCUCAUUCUGAUUUCAAAUAAACCUUCACAACCACAACUGUCAUACCGUUCAUCCCUUAUUCCUCCAGAAUGAAACACCACCAAAUCCUGAAGCGUCCACCAUGGAAAUCAGUUCUUGGAUACCUCUGGGCUGUCUACAUGUUAAGAUGGCUGCAGAGUGACCAGAGAAUUCUGGGGCGGGGGAUGGGGAGUGCUCUAGUGACAGCAGGCCACACACAGACAAUGGACAGUACAGCUGGGGCGCUGGGGAAGAAAGCAGUCUGCCAGUACUCUGCUCAUCCCUCUCCCUUUCCUGUUCUUGCAGAUUGCCCUAAAGAGCUCCAAGCUUUUGCCCUCUGUUCUGCAGAGUUCCUUCCUUCCGUUAAAACCCAUAUACAGGGACCAGGAUGCUCAAACCCAAACCCCAAACCCUUAUCAAAGCACCCACAAAAGGGGGGCUCACCCCUAGAACCAUAAUUCCCUUUAGUCUUAAGAAUAUAAGAUUUUCCCUACCUCGUUAUACUUUUACUAAGCCUUUUUUUGUUUGUUUUUUUGAGACGGAGUCUUACUCUGUUGCCCAGGCUGGAGUGCAGUGGCGCGAUCUCGGCUCACUGCAAGCUCUGCCUCCCGGGUUCACGCCAUUCUCCUGCCUCAGCCUCCCGAGUAGCUGGGACUACAGGUGCCCGUCACCGCGCCUGGCUAAUUUUUUGUAUUUUUAGUAGAGACGGGGUUUCACCGUGGUCUCAAUCUCCUGACCUCGUGAUCCACCCGCCUCGGCCUCCCAAAGUGCUGGGAUUACAGGCAUGAGCCACCGCGCCCGGCCUUUACUAAGCCUUUGAAAGCAAAUCCUUCCCCUUUGAGCAGGGCAGCUGGGCCUGGUCAUGUAUGAUAGGACAGGGAUACCAACACAACUCAGGCUUCCCAGCUGCCAGUAACUCCCAGCUACACUGGUUAUAGGGCUUCUUGUUCCCUACCAUCUCUGCCUAUCUAUCUGUAAGUGUUACGGGAACCCCAAAUGCUAUUACAUAGCCUGAUUCAACAGAUACUUAACCCAUUUCCUCCUCACCCCACUCCUUAUCCUGGUGUGCUGGCUACAAAAGAAUGCCUACAUCUGGUCUAGCCUCUCUCUUCCUCAACAGACUUUUACUCUGUUGCUUCUGUCACAUGAGUCUAAGUAGCUUGUCACCUAGGAGAAGAGAUAAAAAUUAUGCCAUGGCUAUUAAAACUCGUGGUUUUAAAACGUGUAUUGGCAAUAUAUUUUACAAAAUGGAAAGGUGGCUCAGUGAAGAGAGAAUAGAGAAUCCCAUCCCCAGUAAAACUAAGGGAGGAACUAAAUAAUUUCCCUGCAAUUCUUCUCACUGAAAAUGUGGAAGAGGUGGUUCUAGAUAACUUAAUCUCCCAGCUUUAGGAAGAAAAAUGUUUUUAGACUAGUAAACAUUGACAAAGUUUUGAUUUGUGUCCUAAAAUAAGUGUUAAUCUGCUUUAGAUAAUUGAUGGUCAAUACUUUUUGGAGCACAGAGAUUAUGACUUUUUAAAAUUAUAGACACUAUGGAGUUGGUCUAUUAAACUGUAAGGUUCAUCUUCAUGAAGUUAAA